rnacentral:rRNA from 1 species
GACGAACGCUGGCGGCGUGCUUAACACAUGCAAGUCGAACGGUGAAAGCGGAGCUUGCUCCGCUGGAUCAGUGGCGAACGGGUGAGUAACACGUGGGCAACCUGCCCCUCACUUCGGGAUAACUCCGGGAAACCGGGGCUAAUACCGGAUAUGACCUCCUUGGGCAUCCUUGGAGGUGGAAAGUUUUUAGGUGAGGGAUGGGCCCGCGGCCUAUCAGCUUGUUGGUGAGGUAGUGGCUCACCAAGGCGACGACGGGUAGCCGGCCUGAGAGGGCGACCGGCCACACUGGGACUGAGACACGGCCCAGACUCCUACGGGAGGCAGCAGUGGGGAAUAUUGCGCAAGGGGCGAAAGCCUGACGCAGCAACGCCGCGUGCGGGAUGACGGCCUUCGGGUUGUAAACCGCUUUCAGCAGGGAAGAAGCCGCAAGGUGACGGUACCUGCAGAAGAAGCACCGGCUAACUACGUGCCAGCCGCCGCUGUAA